rnacentral:ncRNA from 1 species
AUAAAUGCGAUGACCAGGAGAGUAGCAAUAGCAGGUAUACAGGGAGAAGAUACCGUGAUUGAGAGUAUCUUCAUACUUAUGCUAUUGCGAAAGACACCUGUGAGCAGACCAGUCGAUAAUGUAGGCUGGCUCCGUGAACCUGCGUUAAGGGAAUGAGUCCAAAUCAGGGUGGCACCACGGGAUUUAACCUCUCGUCCCUGCA